rnacentral:lncRNA from 1 species
UGUAUAUAACUUCCUAAAAUAAUCCAGUAGAUACAGAACAAAAAUUACUUACCUCAGGGUCUUUGUAAAUCUGUUUCUUAGGUUGGUUUCCCCAAGAAGCACCAUUAAACAAACAUUCAAGCACAAGUCGUUUCUCUGGAGAUGAAGGAGUAGGAAGAUGAGAUUAAAAAGCCAGGAAAGGAUGCCUAUGAAGCCAGUCACACGGUCCUCCUCCACACAAAAGGCCACACGGAGAAACCGUCCUCCACAAAGUGAGCUGGCCAUCACCUCUGCUCCCCCUUUUCCACCUGCUAGAUGCUGGGCAGCCAUUCGGGUUUACAUCUACCACCUGCUGACCCAUCCAACACAGGUUCUUCUCGACGUGAGAAAAAUCUCUGUCUCAAACAGCAGCGACUUCAGAGUUCUUUUGUGGCACAACGGGUUAAGGAUCUGGUGUUGUCUCUGCAGCAGCUUGGGUCACUGCUGUGGUGUGGGUUUUAUCCCUGGCUCAGGAAUUUCCACAUGCCGUGGGCAUGGCCAAAAAAAAAAAAAAAAAAACUUAUGUAUAUUCUUGUUUUAAAAGUUAGGGCAGAGCCUGGCAUGAUUUUUCACAUACUCAGUCUAACCAAUGAACAUUCAAGUAUCUUGUAGUUAUGUUAAAAACCAUCAUCAUUAAUUCACAAGUAUUUACCUUGAUUGAUAAGAGAUAGGUAGUUCUUAGAAGAACUGUAUGUGUUCAAGCAGUUAAUUUUUUAAAGUAAACUUAGAAUUUCUUUAAGUGUAACUUCAAGCUGGUGUCACUUAUUUUAAAAGUAAUACAUAAAAGCAUUUCUGAUCAUUAUAUGCAUCUGUGAGCAUAUAUUUAUACAAAUAUUUUCGUGUAUUUUGGAGAAUUUAGUCAAGAGUCUAAAUGAUUCAAGCAGUAAAAGAGUAGUUGAAAAAAGACCAUGAAGACAAAGCAGAAACAGAAGUACCAAUGAGGUAACUAACAACCUAUAACCAAGGUACCAGAACAUGAUGGGAAAUGUGUCAGCUUUCUCUAAACUUUUAUAUCAGUCUUAUGCUACACAC